GCGCGAGUGGUGAAAUGGCAGACACGCUAGUUUUAGGCACUAGUGCUUCACGGCGUGAGGGUUCAAGUCCCUCCUCGCGCACCA
rnacentral:tRNA from 1 species